CCUCGCUUCACUGUCACAUACUCACACGUAUCUAUACAUACAUAUAUAAAUACUUCUUCAUAUGGAUCGGAGGAGGACGGGGAGCCCGGUCUACUCGCGGCAGUGGAGUGGUGGUUCUAGCAGCACGGGAUCGUCCUCGCCAGCGAUGUCUCCGGCUCACCCUAGCUCGCGGCUUGGGACAGGUAUGUCCACCAUCAAGCGCACUCAAAACGUUGCCGCGAAGGCCGCGGCACAGCGGCUUGCUCGAGUCAUGGCGUCGCAGCCCGCCGAUGAUGAUGAGGAUGAUGACGAUCUAGGGUUUCGAUUCAGCGCACCGCCGCCCCCUGCUCCGUCGAGUUUCAGCACCAGUCUUAAUCACAGUGCAAGCAAUAAUGUUUCGCCAGCUAUUUCGGUAGCUAGACCUAAUAGAUCUCCUUCUCCUGCGGUAAUUGAGAGAGCUCAAAGCCUUAUACUCUGUGCAUUUGAAUUGUCAUUAAAGAAGUCGACAUGAGUUUGAUGUUAUGUGAACUUA
rnacentral:misc_RNA from 1 species